rnacentral:rRNA from 1 species
AUUGAACGCUGGCGGCAUGCCUUACACAUGCGAGUCGAACGGUAACAGGUCUUCGGAUGCUGACGAGUGGCGCACGGAUGAGUAAUACAUCGGAACGUGCCCGAUCGUGGGGGAUAACGGAGCGAAAGCUUCGCUAAUACCGCAUACGAUCUACGGAUGAAAGCAGGGGACCGCAAGGCCUUGCGCGGACGGAGCGGCCGAUGGCAGAUUAGGUAGUUGGUGGGAUAAAAGCUUACCAAGCCGACGAUCUGUAGCUGGUCUGAGAGGACGACCAGCCACACUGGGACUGAGACACGGCCCAGACUCCUACGGGAGGCAGCAGUGGGGAAUUUUGGACAAUGGGCGAAAGCCUGAUCCAGCCAUGCCGCGUGCAGGAUGAAGGCCUUCGGGUUGUAAACUGCUUUUGUACGGAACGAAAAGACUCUUUCUAAUAAAGAGGGUCCAUGACGGUACCGUAAGAAUAAGCACCGGCUAACUACGUG